CACGUGAGUAACCUGCCCUAGGCUUUGGGAUAACCCUCGGAAACGGGGGCUAAUACCGGAUAUGACUUUUCCUCGCAUGAGGUUUGGUGGAAAGUUUUUCGGCCUGGGAUGGGCUCGCGGCCUAUCAGCUUGUUGGUGGGGUGAUGGCCUACCAAGGCGACGACGGGUAGCCGGCCUGAGAGGGCGACCGGCCACACUGGGACUGAGACACGGCCCAGACUCCUACGGGAGGCAGCAGUGGGGAAUAUUGCACAAUGGGCGGAAGCCUGAUGCAGCGACGCCGCGUGAGGGAUGACGGCCUUCGGGUUGUAAACCUCUUUCAGCAGGGACGAAGCGUAAGUGACGGUACCUGCAGAAGAAGCGCCGGCCAACUACGUGCCAGCAGCCGCGGUAAGACGUAGGGCGCGAGCGUUGUCCGGAUUUAUUGGGCGUAAAGAGCUCGUAGGCGGCUUGUCGCGUCGACCGUGAAAACUUGGGGCUCAACCCCAAGCCUGCGGUCGAUACGGGCAGGCUAGAGUUCGGUAGGGGAGACUGGAAUUCCUGGUGUAGCGGUGAAAUGCGCAGAUAUCAGGAGGAACACCGGUGGCGAAGGCGGGUCUCUGGGCCGAUACUGACGCUGAGGAGCGAAAGCGUGGGGAGCGAACAGGAUUAGAUACCCUGGUAGUCCACGCUGUAAACGUUGGGCGCUAGGUGUGGGGGGGCCUCUCCGGUUUCCUGUGCCGCAGCUAACGCAUUAAGCGCCCCGCCUGGGGGAGUACGGCCGCAAGGC
rnacentral:rRNA from 1 species